AAAGAGCAGAUGCAGCCUGGCACACAGGCCUGGGGAAGGCGUGGCAGGCCUGGUUCUUCAUAAUUAGGGCUUCAUUUCAGCAUCACCUUCAUAUCUUCCUCAGCUGGAAUCCUAUUCUCCAGCACCUGGGAAGUGAGCACCCUUGGCUCUGGGCUGGAGCUCACAAGGUGUUUUCCAGACACCCUGCAGUGAGAAAGUGCAGCUUCUGACUUGGUUACUGCCUGCAGCCCUAGUGGCCACACCCAGCAUUCUUGAAGGGAAAGGCCAAGGUACAGCCAGGCUAGUGAUUGACAGAUGGGGCAGGGGCCCUAGACAUCCCUGCCUGAGCAGGUGAGUCAGCCACAACCCAGGUCCUACGGGACUGUCACGGAGACCAAAGUACAAUCUGUAAUGAUCUGAGCAUAGAACCUGCUUUUACAAAUAAGCGCACUGAAUUUGCGCACAGUUUUAACACACUAAAAUUUCUAAAUAACUUUUUUUUCCUUAGGGAUCAUUUUUCAGGGUGUUUCUAUGCACAGAGGCCUGUGACCUCUGUAUUGUUGUGGCAGGAGUCAUGCGCAAGCAUUCAGGUUGGUUUUCCCUGCGUUUCUCCUUUACUUUAGAGUUUGGGCAUUUCCAAAUUCACCAUGUAGACAUGUGAGCUUGCAGUUUCCCUCAGAUAGUAGACAGGAUACUAAGCGUGACCUGUUUGAGGACACUUUGUGUCUGAAGGGGCUGAGACUUCUGGCACCGAGACCUUAAGGCCACCCCUGCAGUCCCUGCACCUGAAAUAGUGGAAGGUGCCCAAAUAUUUGUUGACUGAAUGACUUCACUAGGACAAUCUUUUGGAGAAGUUGCUGGUAUUAAUAUGUCCUUUGCAUAUAGUAAGUGACCAAUAUAUAUUUCUUGAACGAAUAUAUGAAAAUGGUUGAGCUUUUGGCAGGAGAGGAAGGCUGUAGGAAUUAUGUUUAAGGUGAUUUUGUCACUUACCCAGCCCUUUGGGAAUUGGGGGAACAUUUGAGGGGCCCAUGCAGUGAAUUUAAUUCAAGAAAUAGACUCUGAAGGGAAAUAAAGGUAAGAAAGAAAGGCUUCCAUACUUUCAUUUUGUUUGUUCAUUGAACCAAUGUCUAUCUAUUACCUACUGUGUGUCAGGUCCUAGGAGGCGAACUAUCCAUGGUAGCAAUAGGCUUUGGGAAAGAGAUGAUUAAAAAAAUACAGCAGUGUAAAAAAUAGAAAUGUUUUAAAAAUUAGCUUUAAUCUUCCUUCCCAGACGAUCUCAGUGAAAUUUAAAAAAUAAUGUAUAUAUAGUCAUUUCCCCUUACACUGGCGGACACAUUCCAAGACCCCCAUUGGAUAUCUGAAAACUUAGAUGGUACUGAACUAUAAAUACUUUUUUGCCUCAUACCCGUGAUGAUGUUUAAUUUAUAAAUUAGAAAAUAC
rnacentral:lncRNA from 1 species